AGAGUUUGAUCCUGGCUCAGAACGAACGCUGGCGGCGUGCCUAACACAUGCAAGUCGAACGUGAUUGAGAGCUUGCUCUCAUGAAAGUGGCGCACGGGUGAGUAACGCGUAGAUAAUCUACCUGGUGAUCCGGGAUAACACUUCGAAAGGGGUGCUAAUACCUGAUAAGCCCACGGAGUCCUCGGACUCUGCGGGAAAAGGGGGGGACCUUCGGGCCUUCCGUCAUCAGAUGAGUCUGCGUACCAUUAGCUAGUUGGUAGGGUAAAGGCCCACCAAGGCUACGAUGUCUAGGGGUUCUGAGAGGAUUAUCCCCCACACUGGUACUGAGACACGGACCAGACUCCUACGGGAGGCAGCAGUAAGGAAUAUUGGUCAAUGGGCGCAAGCCUGAACCAGCCAUGCCGCGUGAAGGAUGACGGCCCUAUGGGUUGUAAACUUCUUUUGUACGGGAAAAAACCACCGGUCGUGUAUCGGUGCUGAUGGUACCGUAAGAAUAAGCAUCGGCUAACUCCGUGCCAGCAGCCGCGGUAAUACGGAGGAUGCAAGCGUUAUCCGGAUUCAUUGGGUUUAAAGUGUGCGCAGGCGGAAUAAUAAGUCAGCGGUGAAAGCCUACAGCUUAACUGUAGAACUGCCAUUGAUACUGUUAUUCUUGAGUGUUGUUGAGGUAGGCGGAAUGUGUCAUGUAGCGGUGAAAUGCUUAGAUAUGACACAGAACACCGAUCGCGAAGGCAGCUUACCAAGCAACAACUGACGCUCAUGCACGAAAGCGUGGGGAUCAAACAGGAUUAGAUACCCUGGUAGUCC
rnacentral:rRNA from 1 species